ensembl:snRNA U4 U4 spliceosomal RNA
AGUUCUGCACAGUGGCAGAAUCACAGCCAAUGAGGUUUAUCCGAGGCACAAUUAUUGCUAAUUAAAAUACCUCAUUGCCACUUAGCUGUGUGGAGACCUCUAAGUAUCCAUGUAGAUAAUUCUCACACACAUCGGCCAUGAAAGUGUUUGUAAGUACUUAAAGCUGGAAAGAGGUAUGCAG